GAUGAACGCUGGCGGCGUGCCUAAUACAUGCAAGUCGAGCGAACAGAUAAGGAGCUUGCUCCUUUGACGUUAGCGGCGGACGGGUGAGUAACACGUGGGUAACCUACCUAUAAGACUGGGAUAACUUCGGGAAACCGGAGCUAAUCCCGGAUAACAUUUGGCACCGCAUGGUUCUAUAGUGAAAGAUGGUUUUGCUAUCACUUAUAGAUGGACCCGCGCCGUAUUAGCUAGUUGGUAAGGUAACGGCUUACCAAGGCAACGAUACGUAGCCGACCUGAGAGGGGGAUCGGCCACAUGGGAGCGGAAACACGGUCCAGACGCCUACGGGAGGCAGCAGUAGGGAAUCUGCCGCAAUGGGCGAAAGCCUGACGGAGCAACGCGGCGUGAGUGGUGAAGGGUUUCGGCUCGUAAAACUCGGUUAUUAGGGAAGAACAAACGUGGAAGUAACUGUGCACGGCGUGACGGUACCUAGUCAGAAAGCCACGGCUAACUACGUG
rnacentral:rRNA from 1 species